AGUGAACGCUGGCGAUAGGCCUAACACAUGCAAGUCGAACGGCAGCACAGUAAGAGCUUGCUCUUACGGGUGGCGAGUGGCGGACGGGUGAGGAAUACAUCGGAAUCUACUUUUUCGUGGGGGAUAACGUAGGGAAACUUACGCUAAUACCGCAUCCGACCUACGGGUGAAAGCAGGGGAUCUUCGGACCUUGCGCGAUUGAAUGAGCCGAUGUCGGAUUAGCUAGUUGGCGGGGUAAAGGCCCACCAAGGCGACGAUCCGUAGCUGGUCUGAGAGGAUGAUCAGCGACACUGGAACUGGGACACGGUCCAGACUCCUACGGGAGGCAGCAGUGGGGAAUAUUGGACAAUGGGCGCAAGCCUGAUCCAGCCAGACCGCGUGGGUGAAGAAGGCCUUCGGGUUGUAAAGACCUUUUGUUGGGAAAGAAAAGCAGCAGGUUAAUACCCCGCUGUUCUGACGGUACCCAAAGAAUAAGCACCGGCUAACUUCGUG
rnacentral:rRNA from 1 species